GACGAACGCUGGCGGCGUGCUUAACACAUGCAAGUCGAACGGAAAGGCCCUGCUUGCAGGGUCCUCGAGUGGCGAACGGGUGAGUAACACGUGGGUGAUCUGCCCUGCACAUCGGGGUAAGACUGGGAAACUGGGUCUAUUACCGGAUAGGGGCCCUUCUUAGUGUGAUGGUUGGAAAGUUUUUUCGGUGUAGGAUGAGUUCGCGGCCUAUCAGCUUGUUGGUGGGGGAAUUGCCUACCAAGGCGGCGACGGGUAGCCGGCCUGGGAGGGUGGACGGCCACAUUUGGACUGAGAGACGGCCCAGACUCCUACGGGGGGCAGCAGUGGGGAAGAUUGCACAAUGGGCGCGAGCCUGAUGCAGCGACGCCGCGUGGGGGAUGACGGGCUUCGGGUUGUAAACUCCUUUCGCUGGGGACGAAGCUGUUUGUGACGGUACCUAGAUAAGAAGCACCGGCUAACUACGUG
rnacentral:rRNA from 1 species